UGUUGUGAAGAUUAUUCUCGGAUAUGUGUUACAGCCCUGUUUGUUUCUCUGGUUUCGCCAAAAGGUUCAGACUUGGUUCUGAUUUAAAAAAGGGUCAUGUGACUUUUCAUGGUGUUGAAUCAUGUGAUUCAAGUUUUCAGACAUUGUUCUGAGUUGUAUAGAGUUUUGUAACUCUUGGUUUUUUAUCAGAUAUGUGUUAUAUAUGGUUGUUUCUGAAUCAUAUGUUUUUGUCUUAAUUAGAACGUUUUUCUCAGAUUUUUGUCUGUGAUGUUAUAGUUACUUAGUGAGUUUCAUGACUUGUUAGUGAGUUUAAAGUCAAUUUGCUAUAUUUGAAUUCAUGUGACUUUAUCAUAUGUUGUUGAUAUAUGGUACGGUGCUUGUGAUUAUAUGAGUUAGCUGUUUAUGUUUCUUUCUAUUGCUACAUCAAAUUUGGUGGCCCAUGCAGGUCUCGAACCUGUGUUUUUCUGGAGCUAAGAAUGCACAUAUGUUAUCAGCAUCAAACACAUAUGUUCAGAUUCGAGGCUUGGCAUGACCCUCAAUUCUUGUUGGAUGG
rnacentral:lncRNA from 1 species